UCACUAUGAUGAAUGGUCCAAAACAUUCGCGGUUUCCACCAGAAUGUCAAGCAAUGUUGGCAUUACCUUCCUUGGAUGUCUGAGUGA